rnacentral:rRNA from 1 species
UACGAGGGGUGCUAGCGUUGUCCGGAAUAACUGGGCGUAAAGCGUCCGCAGGCGGCUUUUCAAGUCUGCUGUUAAAGCGUGGAGCUUAACUCCAUUAUGGCAGUGGAAACUGAUUGGCUCGAGUAUGGUAGGGGCAGAGGGAAUUCCCGGUGUAGCGGUGAAAUGCGUAGAUAUCGGGAAGAACACCAGUGGCGAAGGCGCUCUGCUGGGCCAUUACUGACGCUCAUGGACGAAAGCCAGGGGAGCGAAAGGGAUUAGAUACCCCUGUAGUCCUGGCCGUAAACGAUGAACACUAGGUGUCGGGGGAUCGCCCCGGUGUCGUAGCUAACGCGUUAAGUGUUCCGCCUGGGGAGUACGCACGCAAGUGUG